rnacentral:lncRNA from 1 species
UCCGUUGGCAAGGUUUACGUGCACAUGCACUUGUUUUGGGGAUUGUCAGCCCACCAUCUGUUGAAGUGGUGGACUCUGAGAUUGCGUUUAACUUAUUACCAUGAGUCAAGAAUUUUUGCAAUGCAAAAGCCUUUUCUUUCUCCGAUUUAAUCUGCCAUAGAGCUUUUGUGCAUUGAAAAUGGCUUACUGAGGAGCUUAGCUCAAAGUCUCCAUGUCCAUAAAGUGCGCCAUUGACAAGACUUUCUUGCAACUUUAUUUCUUUGUGAAUUUUAUUAAUUAACUCUGGAAGUUUCUCAGGCUUCCAAUCUUGAUUUAGUUAAGAUAAAUAAUAUGUUCUAAAACACAAGGAAAAGUAAUCUCAUAAUACAAUAAUUAAACGUAAUACUGGCUGUUAUUCAUAAUAGAUGAUAAAAUAUUAUGUAAAUAAUG